AUGCCAGACUCCUACGGGAGGCAGCAGUGGGGAAUAUUGGGCAAUGGGCGCAAGCCUGACCCAGCAACGCCGCGUGAAGGAAGAAGGCUUUCGGGCUGUAAACUUCUUUUAUGAGGGACGAAGGAAGUGACGGUACCUCAUGAAUAAGCCACGGCUAACUACGUGCCGGCAGCCGCGGUAAUACGUAGGUGGCGAGCGUUAUCCGGAUUUACUGGGUGUAAAGGGCGUGUAGGCGGGAUUGCAAGUCAGAUGUGAAAACUAUGGGCUCAACCCAUAGCCUGCAUUUGAAACUGUAGUUCUUGAGUGCUGGAGAGGCAAUCGGAAUUCCGUGUGUAGCGGUGAAAUGCGUAGAUAUACGGAGGAACACCAGUGGCGAAGGCGGCUUACUGGACUGUAACUGACGUUGAGGCUCGAAAGCGUGGGGAGCAAACAGGAUUAGAUACCCCUGUAC
rnacentral:rRNA from 1 species